rnacentral:rRNA from 1 species
AGAGUUUGAUCAUGGCUCAGGAUGAACGCUAGCGGCAGGCUUAACACAUGCAAGUCGAGGGGCAGCAGGCGGUAGCAAUACUGUGCUGGCGACCGGCGCACGGGUGCGUAACGCGUAUGCAACCUACCCACUACAGGGGGAUAACGGAGGGAAACUUCCACUAAUAUCCCAUGGUGUUGUUUUCCCGCAUGGGGAGACAACUAAAGCUUCGGUGGUAGUGGAUGGGCAUGCGUGACAUUAGGUAGUUGGCGGGGCAACGGCCCACCAAGCCGACGAUGUCUAGGGGAGCUGAGAGGCUUAUCCCCCACACUGGUACUGAGACACGGACCAGACUCCUACGGGAGGCAGCAGUGAGGAAUAUUGGUCAAUGGACGGAAGUCUGAACCAGCCAUGCCGCGUGGAGGAAGAAGGUCCUAUGGGUUGUAAACUCCUUUUGUUCCGGAGUAAUAAGGUCUUUGCGAAGACCGAUGAGAGUACGGGACGAAUAAGCAUCGGCUAACUCCGUGCCAGCAGCCGCGGUAAUACGGAGGAUGCAAGCGUUAUCCGGAUUUAUUGGGUUUAAAGGGUGCGCAGGCGGACAGUUAAGUCAGCGGUGAAAUCUCACGGCUCAACCGUGGAACUGCCGUUGAUACUGGCUGUCUAGAGUACGGACGGCGCCGGCGGAAUGUGUCAUGUAGCGGUGAAAUGCUUAGAUAUGCCACAGAACACCCGAUCGCGAAGGCAGCUGGCGAGGCCGGUACUGACGCUCAGGCACGAAAGCGUGGGGAUCAAACAGGAUUAGAUACNCUGGUAGUCCACGCAGUAAACGAUGAGGACUUGUUGUCGGCGAUAGAAUGUCGGUGACAAAGCGAAAGCGAUAAGUCCUCCACCUGGGGAGUACGAUCGCAAGGUUGAAACUCAAAGGAAUUGACGGGGGCCCGCACAAGCAGUGGAUUAUGUGGUUUAAUUCGAAGCAACGCGAAGAACCUUACCAGGUCUUGACAUCUCCUGCAUAGCCUAGAGAUAGGUGAAGUCCUUCGGGACAGGAUGACAGGUGGUGCAUGGUUGUCGUCAGCUCGUGUCGUGAGAUGUUGGGUUAAGUCCCGCAACGAGCGCAACCCUUGCCAUUAGUUGCUACGCGAGAGCACUCUAAUGGGACCGCUACCGACAAGGUGGAGGAAGGUGGGGAUGACGUCAAAUCAUCAUGCCCCUUAUGACCUGGGCUACACACGUAAUACAAUGGCCAUCAACAGAGGGUCGCAAUACCGCGAGGUGGAGCCAAUCCCUAAAAAUGGUCUCAGUUCGGAUCGCAGGCUGCAACCCGCCUGCGUGAAGCUGGAAUUGCUAGUAAUCGCGGAUCAGCAUGCCGCGGUGAAUACGUUCCCGGGCCUUGUACACACCGCCCGUCACACCAUGGGAGUUUGUAACACCCGAAGUCUGUAGUCUAACCCUUGUGGAGGACGCAGCCGAAGGUGGGAUAAGCGACUGGGGUGAAGUCGUAACAAGGUAACCGUA